UACACACAUGUAUAUAUAAAUAUAUAUUCACACGCAUAUAUUAAUCGAUGGAUGUGUAUAUACGUAUCUAUAUAUGUAUGUAGGUAGCAUACUUAUAUACAUAUAGCUAGGCUUAAGCAAGGAUUUGAUCUAUGGCCCAUGAUCUCGGAAUCGCUGGUUGACGUGGUGUUUAGUACAUAUAAUGUGCCCCACGAUUUAUUAUGAUACGCAGUGAUGUUACUCGACGCGAACUCACGGCUCCUCAGAAUAAUAAAUAAAGAGGCAGCGUGCAUCAAAGCGAAAGCGAAAGUAGAAAUUGAAAUAUGGGCAAAGAGAAUGAAUUAU